rnacentral:rRNA from 1 species
UACGAAGGGGGCUAGCGUUGUUCGGAAUUACUGGGCGUAAAGCGCGCGCAGGCGGCUAUCCAAGUCAGUGGUGAAAGCCCGGAGCUCAACUCCGGAACUGCCAUUGAAACUGUUUAGCUUGAGGAUGAGAGAGGUGAGUGGAAUUCCCAGUGUAGAGGUGAAAUUCGUAGAUAUUGGGAAGAACACCGGUGGCGAAGGCGGCUCACUGGCUCAUUACUGACGCUCAGGCGCGAUAGCGUGGGGAGUCAAACAGGA